AGAAUCAUUUGUGUUAUUGUAUUUUUAUGAUUUAAUUUGUUUUGCGAUAGUUUAUUUGUACUGUAAAGGGUUGAUAUGUUAAUGUGUUUUUGGAAGCUUAUUUUAUUUAUUGUACCUUGUGUAUCAGGGUUCAUUGAAUUUUAUUAUUUAUUUUUAUUUCCCGAUUUUAAAGGAGUUAAUGGUUUAUAUUAGUUACUGUUUUAUUAGUAUUAAUAAUAGGCUAUUGGUAGUGAAAUGUUAAUCGUCUUUAGUGGUUUCUGGUUUUUCAAGAAAUGAAUUUAAUUCAUGCAUCUUAUUUAAGUUUUACUUUGUUGUAUUAUUAUUUUAUUUGGUGUUAAGAUUAAGGGGGAUUAGCUCCUUAUUUGAUUUUUAUAACUUUUUGUUUAAUUUAUUUUUGUGGAUUUUAUAUUGAUUUUCAAUUUGAUUAUGUUAAAAUUUUAUUUGUUUAUUUGUUUAUUUCUUAUUGUUUAAUUUGUUUAUUGAAAUAAUUUCUUUAUUUUUUUAUUGGAUAGUAAUUAUUGUGUAAUUAGUAAAUUUUUUCUUUUGUGUUGUUUAUUUUAUGUUAGAUUCUUUUGAGGAAUUCGGCAAAUAUUAUGUCCGCCUGUUUAACAAAAACAUCUUUUCUUGUUAGUUUUUGAAGUAUGACCUGCCCACUGACUUAUAUGUGUUGAAGGGCCGCGGUAUUUUGACCGUGCAAAGGUAGCAUAAUCAUUAGUUCUUUAAUUGUGAUCUGGUAUGAAUGGUUUGACGAGACAUGUGCUGUCUUAAGUUAUUAGAAUAAUUUUAUUGAAUUUGGUUUUUAAGUUAAAAUUCUUAAAUGUUUUUAUGGGACGAGAAGACCCUAUAGAGUUUGACAUUUUAUUUAUUUGCUGUUAUUGUUUGUUUGUUUGGAUUGAGUAAAUUGAAUGUUUUGUUGGGGUGAUGGGAGGAAUUUGUGUAACUCCUCUUUAUUAAUUUAAUAUUUAUAUAUAUUUGUUUUGAUCCAUUUAUUUUGAUUAUAAGAUUAAAUUACCUUAGGGAUAACAGCGUUAUCUUCCUUGAGAGUUCUUAUUGGCGGGAAGGAUUGCGACCUCGAUGUUGGAUUAAGGUUAAUUUUCGGUGCAGGAGCUGAAGCUAUUAGGUCUGUUCGACCUUUAAAAUCUUACAUGAUCUGAGUUCAGACCGGCGUGAGCCAGGUUGGUUUCUAUCUAUAAUGGGGUUUUAUAUCUUAGUACGAGAGGACCGGAUAUUUGGAAUAAUUUUAUUUGUUGUGAUUAUU
rnacentral:rRNA from 1 species